CCUACGGGAGGCAGCAGUGGGGAAUAUUGGGCAAUGGGCGCAAGCCUGACCCAGCAACGCCGCGUGAAGGAAGAAGGCUUUAGGGUUGUAAACUUCUUUUCUCAGGGACGAAGAAAGUGACGGUACCUGAGGAAUAAGCCACGGCUAACUACGUGCAAGCAGCCGCGGUAAUACGUAGGUCGCAAGCGUUAUCCGGAUUUAUUGGGUGUACAGGGCGUGUAGGCGGGAGCGCAAGUCAGAUGUGAAAACUCAGGGCUCAACCCUGAGCCUGCAUUUGAUACUGUGUUUCUUGAGUGCUGGUGAGGCAAUCGGAAUUCCGUGUGUAGCGGUGAAAUGCGUAGAUAUACGGAGGAACACCAGUGGCGAAGGCGGAUUGCUGGACAGUAACUGACGCUGAUGCGCGAAAGCGUGGGUAGCAAACAGGAUUAGAUACCCGGGUAGUC
rnacentral:rRNA from 1 species